UACAGAGGUCUCAAGCGUUGUUCGGAAUCACUGGGCGUAAAGGGUGCGUAGGCGGCGCAAAAAGUCAGAUGUGAAAUCCGGAGGCUCAACCUCCGAAUUGCAUCCGAAACUCUUGUGCUGGAGAAUUGUAGAGGAGCUUGGAACUCUCGGUGUAGCAGUGAAAUGCGUAGAUAUCGAGAAGAACGCUCGCAGCGAAAGCGAGGCUCUGGGCAAUUUCUGACGCUGAGGCACGAAGGCUAGGGGGGCAAACGGG
rnacentral:rRNA from 1 species